UACGUAGGGUGCAAGCGUUAAUCGGAAUUACUGGGCGUAAAGCGUGCGCAGGCGGUUGUGUAAGACAGAUGUGAAAUCCCCGGGCUCCAACCUGGGAACUGCAUUUGUGACUGCACAGCUGGAGUGCGGCAGAGGGGGAUGGAAUUCCGCGUGUAGCAGUGAAAUGCGUAGAUAUGCGGAGGAACACCGAUGGCGAAGGCAAUCCCCUGGGCCUGCACUGACGCUCAUGCACGAAAGCGUGGGGAGCAAACAGG
rnacentral:rRNA from 1 species